rnacentral:rRNA from 1 species
GACGAACGCUGGCGGCGUGCUUAACACAUGCAAGUCGAACGAUGAAGCCGGAGCUUGCUCUGGUGAAUUAGUGGCGAACGGGUGAGUAACACGUGAGUAACCUGCCCUUGACUCUGGGAUAACUGCUAGAAAUGGUAGCUAAUACCGGAUACGACCCUCGGAGGCAUCUUCAGGGGGUGGAAAGAAUUUCGGUCAAGGAUGGACUCGCGGCCUAUCAGCUAGUUGGUGAGGUAAUGGCUCACCAAGGCGACGACGGGUAGCCGGCCUGAGAAGGUGACCGGCCACACGGGGACUGAGACGCGGCCCAGACUCCUACGGGAGGCAGCAGUGGGGAAUAUUGCACAAUGGGCGCAAGCCUGAUGCAGCAACGCCGCGUGAGGGAUGACGGCCUUCGGGUUGUAAACCUCUUUUAGUAGGGAAGAAGCGAAAGUGACGGUACCUGCAGAAAAAGCACCGGCUAACUACGUGCCAGCAGCCGCCGUAA